ensembl:lncRNA
CUUGUGGUGUGGAAGGUUCCUGGUAGAACUUAAACCGCAAUUAAGUGAAACAAUGUUUAACCUUUGUUUUUCAAAAUAUCACGUAGUCCAUGAAGGCUCGUAUGCAGGCUUGGGACCAGUAGUAUGGGCGCCGUGUAGGUGCUCGAUGGCAAUGGCGGGGUCCGUGGGGAAACUGCAUCCAAUAAAGGCUUCCAGAAGAGAGCAUGUGGUUACGAAACCCAAUUAAACGGCUAGACCUCCUAGACGCUGAUGACUGACAAUGCAGCCGCGCAGACGACUACGCUUGUUGUUUAGGGAAGGAGAAGCAGAUCACAUAUUCACCACCUCAAGACUUGGAUGUCUUACUCUACAUUCCUGGGACUGCUCCAUGGGUCAAACUGGAGGUGUAGCAGCACCCAGCUGGAUGACCACCACAGCCUAGUUCUACAUUGACUCUGAGCUAAAGUUGAAGAGGUAGCACAACCUCAAGACUGCAGUUGGUGAUGGUGUAGCAGCACCCAGCUGGAUGACCACCACAGCCUAGUUCUACAUUGACUCUGAGCUAAAGUUGAAGAGGUAGCACAACCUCAAGACUGCAGUUGGUGAUGGUGUAAUUUGACAACACUUGUAACGGGAAGGAGAAGCAGAUCUCAUAUUCACCAGCACCUCAAGACUUGUGGUCUUGCUCUACCUUCUCAAGGACCGCCGCAUGAGUUGAACCGGGUCCAGGACUUCUGCUGGCUGUAGUUUAGAUCCGUGCUGAUGGGACUCCGACGACUACGCUGGUUGUACAGGGAAGGAGAAGCAGAUCCCAUAAUCGCCACCUCAAGACUUGAUAUAUUACUAUACCUCAGAUUUGCCAUGGACUGCAUCAUGGGUCAAACUGGAGUUGUAGCAGCAACCAGCUGGGUGGCCAUCAUGGCCCGAAGCCUAGUUCUAGAUAGCUGCAUGAUGUUUAACUGGGAGCAGGACGUCUAGUGGCUGUAGUUUGGCCCUGUGCGGUUUGACUCCGCAGGCUACACGUGUUGUACCUGGAAGGAGAAGCAGAUCCCAUAUUCGCCAACACCUCAAUACUUGACGUCUGACUACUGGCUGUAGUUUGGAUCAGUGCUGUUUGACUCUGCCUUGCAGACAUGCGCUUGUACUGGGAAGGAGAGGCAGAACUCAUAUUCACCACCACCUCAAGACUGGUGUUGGCUUACUAUAAUUAAACGCUGGGGGAGAACCAAGCAACACUUGGUUAUGGCAGUGUGGAAGAGCUCCAAGAUGGGCUGUUUGAAAGAAUUCACUGAGCAUGAUAAAGGGAACUGACAUACUGUCAUCCCCUAUUAAUGAAUGUACACUGACUGUACACAUUAUGGGCGUACAAGACCACUAGACUUUUCAGGGGCUGAAAUACAACACUUCUAAUGUACAAAUGAAUGUCGUGCCAAUAAAAAA